rnacentral:rRNA from 1 species
UACGUAGGGGGCAAGCGUUGUCCGGAUUUAUUGGGCGUAAAGAGCGUGUAGGCGGCUGGGUAGGUCCGUUGUGAAAACUCGAGGCUCAACCUCGAGACGCCGAUGGAAACCCUCCAGCUAGAGUCCGGAAGAGGAGAGUGGAAUUCCUGGUGUAGCGGUGAAAUGCGCAGAUAUCAGGAAGAACACCCGUGGCUAAGGCGGGUCUCUGGGCAAUAACUGACGCUGAGGAGCGAAAGCGUGGGGGGCAAACAGG